rnacentral:misc_RNA from 1 species
AUCACACGGCGUCCACACAUAGCUGA